rnacentral:lncRNA from 1 species
ACAAAACAUAAGGAACCGACUCGGAAAGCUCCGAAGCAAACUGGAGCUCACCAACAAUAGCUGUAUGACCUGGCUCCUACUUGUGCGGUGUAUGAGUUGAGGUACCUGUGCCUGCAGCAUGAAAUGCAGGUCCCCCGUGAGGGACGUCAGUACGAAAUAUGUACUGAGUAUGUAAAGCUGUAAAUAAUCACAUAUGAUAUAGGAGCUCAAUAGAAAUCAGAAACAAGUGAAUAAGUCGUAAUAGGAGUGGACCACACUUACUAGAACUUGUGACAACCUGUACAUUGUAUUUAUUCAAUCACUUUACCUUCGUUCUUAUCGUCUUUGUAAUCAUUACUGUACUGUACUGUGACCAUUAGGAUGCCUCCAGUACAUAUCAACUGGGAUCGACCCAUGCUAGGCUUAUGCCCCUGGGAUACCACCCAUAAACACAUGAAAUAGGGAUCGACCCAUGCUAGGCUUAUGCCCCUGGGAUACCACCCGAUAAGAGAGAACUUUCAUCACUUAGUUCAAUUAAUCUUUGAGAUUGUUAUUUCGGUCGUCACCACAUUUUUGAUACCUUGAAACAAUGAUACAUCAAUAGGAACCAAGUAAUAGACCUUCUAUACAAUAACGAUGUAAUAAGGACUCAUUGGUACAUCAACAAUAUGUUUCAGAAUCAUCAAUAUCACAACAAUGAAAUAAGAGCCUUUUGGUAUAUCAAUGAACAUUUUGACACUUUAUAGGAUGGAAACAACUUCGUUGGUAACGUAGAACAAUACAUGUUUUUGGACAACCUCGGAAUCUUACUUGAUGGAACAUUGGUGUUUUCAUGCCAAAGAACAUUGUUAGAGUAUGCUUUACAUACCUCGUUGUAGAUUCAGAUACCAAUUCAACACAACUUCCCGCCUUUACAAAUCACUUAUCUACAAUGAAAUGUUUGGCAUCUAGUAUUAGCAACCCAACACCACAAUUCUCUUCCAUAAUUCCAUACUACCAAUAUUUGCAAAACAUUCCAAAAACCAACUUGAACAAUAGGUUUAUGUGUGUAUAUGUAUAUAAUCAUCAUCUCAAUACCACAUCAUCAAUACCACAUCAUCACCCCAAAUUCCUUCACAAUUUAACAUAAUCCAACCAUGCACAAGAAUAAUCCAACAUCAUUUCCAAUCAUCUUUCAACAACAAUCAAAUAACAUACUUCUUAUGCUCACAUGCAUAUAUAUAUAUAUAUACAUAUCCAUAUAAAUAACACCAACAUAAUUUACAUCCUUACCAAAAAAAAUGGCCCUUUUGAUUUCGAAGUCCUGUUGGCACAAAUAAGGGGUGCUUCUCGAAGCCCUUGAGACGGUGAACACAACUACGGAAUCAAUUUGGAUUUUCUACGGUUGAAUCACAAGAUAAUUGGAGUUGAACUUAGGCUAGGGUUUCUUAUUCUUCAAUGAUUUGGAUGAUAAAUGGUGGAUAUAAGGCUAAGUAUAUGUAUAUAAUGACCAAUUUUCGUCCAUGAGGUGAUGGAAAAUGACCAUAUUGCCCUUAAAAAUUUAAGUAAAUCCGAAUCUGUCCAUGGUGGACUGUUUUGAUAGGCUAAAGUAAAUCGGCCAUAACUCUUUGCUCCGAUAUCGGAUUUGGGUGAAAUUGGUAUCGUUAGAAAGAUAAUUCAAAGGUCUUUCAUUUAAUAUAAAUUAAUCCACCCAGUUCGUCCUGUACAAGUAGUUAUGAUCGUUUGAAGUUGACCCUAAAAAUCUGUUUUGAGAGGCUGAAGUAAAACGAGUAUAACUCCUUACUCAGAUGUUGGAUUUGGAUGAAACCAAUUUCAUUGGAAAGAAGACUCAAAGAUCUUUCUUUUGAUAUAUGGUAGCUCAACCAGUUCAUUAUAUUGAGGGAGUUAUGAUCGUUCAAAGUUGACCCAAAAAACUGGCAGGCCUCAGUAGUUUCCUGCACAUUUUACUGUUCACAUCCCGGCCACCGUUUUAAAGUUUCGAACGAGCUCGCUUAUAUCCGAAACUUAUCCGUUUUUGGAAAUCUUUAUAUCGUUGGAAAGCUUAUUCAAUAACCUUCGUAUGGAACCAUCGACGGGAAAAUUCCGAUAUAAAUAAAGUCGAUUCCUAUACACCUAUAAUCAAACUAUACACUUGAAACCAUCUCAAAAUAAUCAAUACUCAUACUUAAACUCAUAUAUACCUAACUUAGGAUCAAUACAUAUACCCCAACACAUAUAACAAUGACUAAUGCACGUAAUUAAGUACGGGGUGUUACAGUAGGUAACUCAGUUAUUGCUAAGAAAGUCUAUAGGGGGUUUGUGGUAUCUGUUGGUGGCAAGCAAACCUUGGUGGAUCUAUUUAAGUUGGAUAUAGUGGAUUUUUAUGUCAUUCUGGGUAUGGGUUGGCUGCACUCUUUUUACACAUCCUUGGAUUGUUAGACCCAUAAAGUUAUCUUUAGGUUCCCUGGUGAACCGGUUAUAGAGUGGGAGGUUAUUUCUUUAUCUCCCAGGGGGAGUUUUAUUUGUUAUCUAAGAGCUCGGAGGUUAAUCUCUAAAGGUUGUUUUUAUGACAUAGUCUGGGUUAAGGAUUCUAACUCGAAAGGUCCUUCUGUCCAGUUAUUUCCAGCUAUUAAUGAGUUUCUAGAGGUAUUUUUGGAUGAUCUUCUUGGUGUUUCUUCAAAUAAGGAAAUAGAGUUUGGUAUUGAUUUAAUUUUGGAUACUCGUCUAAUUUCUAUUCCUCUAUAUAGAAUGGCUCUGGAUGAGUUAAGGUAACUCAAGGAGCAACUUAAGGAUUUUAUGGAUAAGGGGUUUAUUCAUCCUAGUGUAUCUCCUUGGGGUGCACCGGUGUUUGUGUACAAGAAAGAUGGUUCCCUUCAGCUGUGCAUUGACUUUAGGUAGUUGAACAAGGUGACGGUCAAGAACAAGUAUCCUGUUUAAGGAUAUAUGAUCUAUUUUACCAGUUGUAAUGUGCCAAGUUCUUUUCCAUGAUACAUCUUCGAUCAGGGUACCAUCAUGUAAUACCCCGUAUUUUUGUAUUGGAAUUCUAACCAUCGUUCCUAAGCGUCUAAGCUCUAAUCCAAGUGAUUCUCACAUGAAUACAAGUUGCAUGAUCAUUAUCUUAGUCUAUGGAGUAGUUUAGAGGUGAAAAAUAUUCAUAGCAAUGACCUAGAACAAAGCUGAGCUAAGACCAAUUGAUUCAUCCAAAGUUUGACAUUCAAUUCUACAAGGGUCAACUUCAAACUUGAAUAUCUCUUAAUAUACAUGGAAUUUAUCAUCCCAAGACCUAUCAAGUUGUAGAUAAUUGAAUUAGCUUUCCAAUGAUACUAAUUUCAUCAAAAUUUGACACCCGAGCAAGGAGUUAUGGCUUUGCAAAGCAGAGUGCGUUGCCUAACCAAUCGCACGUGGCUACUGGAAUAGGUGUGCGAUAAACAAUGUGGCGCAUACUUAAAUGUGUGCGAUAAUCAAUGCGGUGCAUACUUAAAUAUGUGCGAUAAUCAAUGCGGUGCAUAUUUAAAUGUGUGCGAUAAAUAAUGUAGCGCAUACUUAAAUGUGUGCGAUAAGCAAUGCGCCGCAUACCUCACUUCCAAGUGCCAAAAACACCCCUAUAUAUGUCUAUAACACGGGAUUAAAAUCUCAUAACACCAAAAUAAGUUUACUUUCUCUCAAAAUCACCAAGAACAUUCAUUAGGGUUUCAACCUAAAAAUUCAAAUAUUUCAAGAUUCAACCAUGAGUUUUCAAUAAGUCUUUGAGAUUCGGAAUCCCCAUUCCGAGGGAUACAAGAAACACUCAUUAUUUUCACGAAUAGAGUCCCAAGGUCAAGAUUUCAUUCAAAGCUUUAAUUGUAAGGUAUGUGGGGUUUUUCAACAAGAACAUUCUUUCGUUCUUGUGCCCAAAAUUUGUAUUAUUUUACAAAGAUAUAGAUUUUACAUGCUUUGAUAUGAAUUUGAGAUAGAAACUAUUAUCCUACGUUCUUGUUCAAAAUACUAUUAUAUUUUUAUGAUGUCUUGAAGAUAAAUUCCUUGAGUUUUGAUAUUAAUAUCAUGUUUGAAGUUGAAUCUCCAGAUUUUCAUAUGAAUUAUACAUGUUUGCUACAUAAAGUGUGAAUCUUGAAAUAUUUUGCUCAAGUAUUGAUAUAUGGGUUUUGAACCCUAUUUGAGAAUUAUAAUUUUUGUGAAAGUAAAGUGUUAUGCACACCUUGAGAUUUGAAUGAUUUGACCUUUUGGUCUUGAAAGAGUUAUUUUUGAACUCGAAUGAGAAAAGAAAUCCACAUUUUGAUUUAUUACGAAAAAGGGGUAGCAUGAUGGCUCCCGUUGUGAAUUGCUGAAUUAUUUUAUGGUGGAUUUUCUUUGAAAAUAUCUGAGCUAAGUCCGGGAGCAGUCUUUAGCACCGAGUGGGAGGUAUAGCUGUGUUGGUACUUCCCUAUAACUACGUGCCCCCGUAGGAUCCGAAAUUGAGGCUGAUUAUAUAUAGUGAUCACUAGUUUUUGGAUUUGAUACUUAUAGUCCUACUCUGAUGGCAAGGAUAGGACAGCUCUCCCCAAUGUGGGUUGUACGUUAGACUCCAUGUCGCUCACAUGGUUUAUGUCGGUUAUGAGAUCACCCAAUGUGUGUGUGUAUUCUCCUUUCUAAUAUGAAAAGUGUUAUUCUUCUAUCUGAGAAGAAAAUAUAUUUGUUUGAAAGAAUGAAUUUGAGAAAGUCAUUGUUUUCGAAAGAUUUAAUGAACAUAUAUUCCAAAGAGAAUUGUUAUGAUAUUUGAUUGCUUUAAUAAUUUAGAAUCGAGAUAGAAGUGAAUUGAGAUUUAUUAUGAUAACUCACAUAUUUCACCCGAUAUAUUUUAAUCUCUUAUGAUUAUGAUGAUUUUAAUUCGAGCUAAGUGAAUCGUUUAUAUUAGCAUGCAUAAUUUUAUAAACUGUGAUGAUAUUACGACAUUAUUUUAUAUAUGCAUUACACCCCCAUAUGCUCGGUACAUUUCCAUGGUACCGACCUAUAUAUUUGUAUAUGGGCUAUAUUUUCUUGGAAUGUAGGUACAAGGUAUAGUGUAUAUCUUCAGAUCCAGUCAGUUCACGACAUCCAGUCAGCAGGUGAUGAGUUCUUUUGAUUUAAGGGCUUGAGUUAGUUAUAUAGUUCGAGAAGUGUUGUAUUUUCUUUAUUCAAUCAUAUUGAGUUGGGUUAGUUGGGAGUCAUGACCCAGCUACCUACAGUCAGUACUAGUAGAGGCUUCAUAGACAGUCAAUAGAAGUUAAUGUAUUCCAUUUCAAUUUUGGUUGUAAAAGCAGAGUUGUAAUCUUGUAAAUUUAGUUUUGUAUCUAUAAUAUUCAGAAAAGAGUUAUUUUCUGCAGAUUUGUAUAGAUUUAUACUUUUUUUCAAUUGCUUAUGAGUUAUGCCAGUAGAAGGGUUAGCUUGGGUUCACUUGUGAUCCUAAGCACCGUGUGAAGUCUCAGGAUCCAAUUUUGGGGUGUUACAAACUUGGUAUCAGAGCACAGAGUUCAAGUGUCCUAGGGUGUCUAUGAACCGUGUCUAUUAGAGUCUUGCGGAAUGGUACGGAGAUGUCUAUACUUUUCUUCGAGAGGCUACAGGGCAUUUAGAAAAUGUCUCCAUUCUUUCAAGUCUUAAAUCGUGCUAUUGAAAAGUUCUCCAAGAAAUUUAUAUAGAUUCUCAUCUUACUCUCUAUUCCUAUGGAAUGGGGCAUAAGUCGCACCCUCUAAUCCAUAGUAAUAGAGCAUGUGAUGCAUGCUAAUCGCAUGGUGCGCAUGGUACCUCUAGAGGUUGUCCUCUAAAUUUCGGCUAAGUAUUGGUCCUUUCUCCUUUCAUACCUUGUCUUGUGGUGUCUUUCCAAUGAUUUUCAAGCAUAUAUAUCAUCCAUAUAUCAUCAUAUUAAGCUCACAAAGGAUCCU